rnacentral:rRNA from 1 species
UGGGGAAUAUUGGACAAUGGGCGCAAGCCUGAUCCAGCCAUGCCGCGUGAGUGAUGAAGGCCCUAGGGUUGUAAAGCUCUUUCACCGGUGAAGAUAAUGACGGUAACCGGAGAAGAAGCUCCGGCUAACUCCGUGCCAGCAGCCGCGGUAAUACGAAGGGGGCUAGCGUUGUUCGGAUUUACUGGGCGUAAAGCGCACGUAGGCGGACUAUUAAGUCAGGGGUGAAAUCCCGGGGCUCAACCCCGGAACUGCCUUUGAUACUGGUAGUCUAGAGUUCGAGAGAGGUGAGUGGAAUUCCGAGUGUAGAGGUGAAAUUCGUAGAUAUUCGGAGGAACACCAGUGGCGAAGGCGGCUCACUGGCUCGAUACUGACGCUGAGGUGCGAAAGCGGGGGGAGCAAACAGG